GGCGUAGGCGGAGAUGUAAGCCAGACGUGAAAGCCCGGGGCUCAACCCCGGAAUAGCAUUUGGAACUACAUUCCUUGAGGAUAGGCGGAGAAAACGGAAUUCUGCAUGUAGCGGUGAAAUGCGUAGAUAUGCAGAAGAACAUCGGUGGCGAAGGCGGUUUUCUAGCUUAUUCCUGACGCUGAGGCCCGAAAGCUAGGGGAGCGAACA
rnacentral:rRNA from 1 species